CAAAACACUGGCGGCAGCUUAACCAUGCAAGUCCAACGGUAGCAGGAAGAAGCUUGCUUCUUUGCUGACGAGUGGCGGACGGGUGAGUAAUGCUUGGGAAUCUGGCUUAUGGAGGGGGAUAACUACUGGAAACGGUAGCUAAUACCGCGUAAUGUCUGCGGACUAAAGGGUGGGACCUUCGGGCCACCUGCCAUAAGAUGAGCCCAAGUGGGAUUAGGUAGUUGGUGAGGUAACGGCUCACCAAGCCCGCGAUCUCUAGCUGGUCUGAGAGGAUGACCAGCCACACUGGAACUGAGACACGGUCCAGACUCCUACGGGAGGCAGCAGUGGGGAAUAUUGCACAAUGGGGGGAACCCUGAUGCAGCCAUGCCGCGUGAAUGAAGAAAGCCUUCGGGUUAUAAAGUUCUUUCGGUGACGAGGAAGGCGAUUGUUUUAAUAGAACAAUCGAUUGACGUUAAUCACAGAAGAAGCACCGGCUAACUCCGUGCCAGCAGCCGCGGUAAU
rnacentral:rRNA from 1 species